UAGCCGCCGCCUCCUCCCGUUGUUCCGCACUCGCUCGUCCCUCCUCCUCUAAGCCUCAUCCACCCAACCCCUAACCCUAGCAGCUCCCCGCGCCGCCGCCGCCGCCUUCUCCUUCGCCCAGCCCGCCAGACCCUCGCCGUACUCUUCCCAGGCGUCGUCGCCAUCGUCCACCACCACCACCACCGCGCCCCCACCCUCUCCCCAUCCCCGCCGGCCCCCACCCUCUCCCAAUCCCCUCAUCUUCUCUCCCAUGGCCAGUGGAUUCGCCCCUCGCGGGAUCAAUUCAUCUGAGCCAGCGGUCUACAGGGCCGGUCGGGAGCGGCAUGUCCCCCGUCUGCGCGUCGGUGGCGGCGGUCCUGCGGGUUGAGGCUGAACCCCAACGAUGUUUGGCGCUGUGUCGAGUACUUCCUUUGCCAGCGCCACCCCCACCCCUUCUCCUCCGUGUUCCUCUCACUGCCCAUCUCGCGCCGCUGCUGCACCAUAGGAGUGAAAUGCCUAUGCCACAGGUUGCUGCUCCCGGUUGGUUGCAAGGAUACGUGUUGCGGUGGUCAAUUUCUCCUAGGAAGGUUUGUCUUCAACCUCUGGAGGUUUGUCUUCGACUAUGCUCCGAGAGGUGUCACGGUCUGUGAGGAUACAGUGGGAUAGCUCCAUCUGCUAGAGUGCUAGAUGCCAACGAUGUGAUUAGGCGCACAUAUACGAGUAUGUUUAUGACGACACCUGCACCAGUCGUCGUCGUUGUUGUUUUUGCUUAUUGCCUCCCCCGAAAAUCACUUCUCUAGGUGAGGGACCCCUCUCCUUUCCUUUCGUUUGGUUUCAAUUCGUGCCUAGGAUCAAAUACAGUGAGCAAGUAGCAAAAUUAGAACGAUAACUGUCGAUUAGGAGCAUUCAUCCGGAUGGAUUUAUGAGAUGCAUAUAAUGAUGGCUCCAGUUGAAGUGAUGACAUAGCAGUAACUGAAAUAGAAAUUCAGUGAGCAUCUUCGCGUUAGAUGACAUUUAGUUUCAAUUAGCAUUGGGCACUAGCUGAUUUCAAUCUUGUUACCAUCUGUUUGGGAGCCCCCCUCUAGAGGUUGUCACGGGUGAAGUGGCAGCCACUGACUGCGUUGUAAACAACCUGAAUAGUGAGCCCGAUGAGUAGGCUAACGGUGCGGGAGAGAUCGGUUAGUACGACAGAUAGAAUGUUCAUGCAUAUUGAAAUGUGCCUUAUUGACCAAAUUUGAUAUUAACAUGUGGCGUUCACCUUACUCGCAUAUGUGGUUGCAAAGGUUGAAAAAGAGUAUGUUGAUCCGGAGCCUGAGCAAGCUAUAUUAGCACCCCCAGCCAACAAUUUGAGGCAGGGCAUGAGUUCGGAGCUUCUAGGCAGAGUUUUCAUAGAUGAAACGGGCAUGGAGGCGCAGCGUCGCAGGCUGAGGUUUCAGAUUGCUCCAAAUGAUAAAGGGAAGGAGCUGAUAGAGGAAGAAGGUGAACUCGAGUCUUCCGACGGUGAUGAAACUGGAACCACUGUAGAUGUUCUGUUUUUUCCCUUACGUUGAACAUUGUAUUAGCAGUCACAUACUUAUGGUCAUAUACUUACUAAUGCUUUGACCUGAAACUAGAACCACUGUAGAUGUUCUGUUGCCAAUAUAACGUCGUUUGCAUUUAGUUUGUCAUAAUAUUAAUUCAGGUUCUAUAGUCUGCUAGGUCAUGUUUUUUAUUUAGUUAAGUUCCCAUCUAAUUGCCUGAAUUAGUCGCGUGUUGGAGAGCAAUCUGAAAGUUAUAACAGGGAAUGCAACAAUAGUGUGAUUUAUGUUGCUGGAAGUACUGCCAAUGCUUUUGUCAUUUUUAAGGUUUGCUCUCGGUUUUGUUGGCAAGGAAUCUUUGGUCAUGAGUCCAUUGUAGAAUGGCAAUAGUUGAGCACCAAGGGACAAUCAAAAUUACUAUCAUGAUAUUUCAGGAGUAGUUGAAUGUUAAUUGGCUGGUGGCGGAACUGUUCAAGUAUGGGAAAUGAUGAGCUCUUUCUUCUUUUUAUGCCAGCUCUAUGCCGUAGGUGAGGUUGAUUCAAUAAUUGAAUGCAUAGGCUUAAACCAGAUGAUAUAGCAGUGGAAGAACAAGUUUUAUGUCUGUCGAGGUGCUUUCUUAUUUAUUUGACAUGAUAAAGCAUGGACCUUCUUGCUCGUUCGUCGGUAUGCAUCUCAGCUCCAGUAACCAGGUUGCGAUGGCUGACGAUGAGCUCCAGGUUCAUGGCUCGCCAGGCUCCUCUUCGGUCGUCCCUACGCAUCUCAGCUCCAGUAAACAGGUCGUGAUGGCUAACGAUGAGCUCCAGGUUCAUGGCUCACCAGGCUCCGCUGGCUCCACCAACAGCUAUCUAUGAACACUUGCAUAGAUUAUACUAUCGUAGCAGUCUUUACUUCUGAGCUACUCUUGCUAUGAUUCGCGCAUACUUGAUGGAAACCCAGCGACUGUUCAGGAUCCCACACAGAACAGUUCUUGACAGCCUCCUAGCACACCUUGAGUUAUCUCCAGACAAGUACAAGCGUGUUGUUCAUGAGGACGGCAAGAUCCGUGUAACCGUCUCUUUCAACACCUCUACAAUUAACCUUGGGGAACCAAUCAGCGACAUUUCUGUGCCAGGGCUUUAUUGCACCGACGAUGAGGCUGCCUAGGAUACCGCUGCAAUAAAGGCUGUCAUAUACAUAGAGGACAUGACAAACACGGUUGUCAGAGACUUGAACCUUGCUUUGUCCAAACGACAUCAGCGCCGUGCCGAGCGCUUCCCGCAGCAGUUAGAGGAGUCAAGGACCAAUAAAAGGAUGCUUGCUAGAGGUUGGCUUCUUGCCGUCAGAUACAUGCAUUACUUUUCUGUGCACAUUAGAAAUGUGGUUGCCAUGGACUACUCUGUUGGAGAUCUUCCUGACACAAUGGAAGACACAGGCUGCCGCUUGGAAGGACAUUUGGAAAAAAGGUCGCGCUAUUAGAUGGCGCCUCUCCUAAUUCACAGCUGCUCCAAUGCGUAUCAAGGUUCCAUGUGAGGCGGUCCUUGUGAAGUACAUCGACAAGGCAGAUGAAUUACGCCACUUGUUAGUAUGCUUAGUGAUUAUGGCUUCGUAGUUGGCUCUCCUUAUGUAUUCUUGCUUUUGGUAUCGAACUUCGUGUUGAAUGGUCGUCUUUUGUGGUCGGAUGAAUGCCCUGAUGUUGAUCUUGAGAUCCAUUGUGUUUUAUUUUUGUCACAAUCCAAUGUUUCUUACCUCAUUAUCAUCCUGUAUAAGUACAAAUGCUUUACUUGGGUUCCUACUGGCAUGUUGUUACAUGCUUUGGCAAAA